AUGGAAACCUGGAAACGUGUGAGGCGACGCAGGAAAUCUCCACAAAACAGAUUCAACCCCACUACGAGUUUGAGUCACAACAACGAGCCAACCAACACAGCUGCUGCCGUUCAGGAGAACUUGCUCUCAGAGCUACAACCUUCCUUCGUUCAACCUGAGUCUCCCCGUAAGCACAUGGAGCCACAAGUCUGUCUCAAGAGAAAGAGGGAAUCUUCCCCAACACCAGAGAGCAGUAAAAGAGUGAAAGAGACAGAUGGUAACCGAGUUCCAGAGUCUGAGCACCGUUCCGGUUCCCGACCCCCGCGGCUCUCUCUGCCGUUUGACCGUCUCCAGGAACCGGUCACGUUGAAAGAUCUGACGGAACUGCUUCAGUUUGCUGCUCUGGGGAACACCGGUGGGCUGAAACAACCCAGUUGGUGUCGCCUCCACCACCAGAAGAAUGUGUCAGGGGUGAACGUGAUCCUUCUAGAAGGACUGAGCCAGGCCCACUUCUACAGACACUACCUGCACUUUAAACACCUCCGCACCAAGUACACCUCUAGACACAGUUAUACUCCAUCGCCUGGCAACAUGGUUUCUGAAAUAUUUAGCAGUGAAGUUGUCAACAACAGUCCUACCGAUGCGUUAGGAGACCAGAAGAGCGCUCAGCCAGAGGGAGGUAUGUAUGGGUAGCCCUGCCUGAGGGAGGUAUGUAUGGGUAGCUCAGCCAGAGGGAGGUAUGUAUGGGUAGCUCAGCCAGAGGGAGGUAUGUAUGGGUAGCUCAGCCAGAGGGAGGUAUGUAUGGGUAGCUCAGCCAGAGGGAGGUAUGUAUGGGUAGCUCAGCCAGAGGGAGGUAUGUAUGGGUAGCUCAGCCAGAGGGAGGUAUGUAUGGGUAGCCCUGCCUGAGGGAGGUAUGUAUGGGUAGCCCUGCCUGAGGGAGGUAUGUAUGGGUAGCCCUGCCUGAGGGAGGUAUGUAUGGGUAGCCCUGCCUGAGGGAGGUAUGUAUGGGUAGCCCUGCCUGAGGGAGGUAUGUAUGGGUAGCUCAGCCAGAGGGAGGUAUGUAUGGGUAGCCCUGCCUGAGGGAGGUAUGUAUGGGUAGCCCUGCCAGAGGGAGGUAUGUAUGGGUAGCCCUGCCUGAGGGAGGUAUGUAUGGGUAGCCCUGCCAGAGGGAGGUAUGUAUGGGUAGCCCUGCCUGAGGGAGGUAUGUAUGGGUAGCCCUGCCUGAGGGAGGUAUGUAUGGGUAGCCCUGCCUGAGGGAGGUAUGUAUGGGUAGCCCUGCCAGAGGGAGGUAUGUAUGGGUAGCCCUGCCUGAGGGAGGUAUGUAUGGGUAGCCCUGCCUGAGACUUAAACAUCUGCCACUCUCGGCACAAGGAGGAAUUUCCUCUUGGUCUAUUUGUUAGGAUGUUGAUUUCCGGAGUGUGUUUUGUACCUGUGCGUGUGUGUGCGUGU